AUCAGGCUGACGAGUUCAAAAUAGGAUGAAAUGCGAGUCCCGGAU
rnacentral:hammerhead_ribozyme from 1 species